rnacentral:tRNA from 1 species
GCCUUUGUGGUGUAGUGGUCAGUACGCUUGGCUCUUAUACGAGAGGUCCGUCGUUCGAAUCCCGGCGAGGACA